UACGAAGGGGGCUAGCGUUGCUCGGAAUCACUGGGCGUAAAGGGUGCGUAGGCGGUUUUUUAAGUCAAGGGUGAAAUCCUGGAGCUCAACUCCAGAACUGCCUUUGAUACUGAGGAUCUUGAGUUCGGGAGAGGUGAGUGGAACUGCGAGUGUAGAGGUGAAAUUCGUAGAUAUUCGCAAGAACACCAGUGGCGAAGGCGGCUCACUGGCCAGAUACUGACGCUGAGGCACGAAAGCGUGGGGAGCAAACAGG
rnacentral:rRNA from 1 species